rnacentral:misc_RNA from 1 species
CCGAUCUCCUUUUCCUUCCACCUGACCCCGUCCGCCAUAAGAUUUCGGUUUGGACUAGUUACGGUCCCGGAGGGGGAGCUAUGCGAGGGAGUGCAUAACGCGGCACGCCCCGCCAAAAUACGCGCACAUUUACUCGACCCGCUCAUUGUAAAGUUCGAUCUCUCACUUUUUUCUUGUCUACCAUGGAAGGCGCGUCGCACGAGGCUGCCGAGCACACCAGCGCCUCAGCGAUGACUCGCAAGGAGCGCAAGAAAAUGGAGAAGAGCGAGAAACAGGCAGAGGAGCUGCGUCAGCUCUCCAAGAAGGCGAAUGCCGUGAACGGCGACACCGACAACCCUUUCUCUGUAACUCUCGAGACGGACCAGAUCGCGGAGGGCUCGCGCAAUAUUACCUUCAACAAGGUCUCCGUCUCUGUAAAUGGCAAGACGCUCUUCAAAGACACCACAGUGAAGCUGUCUGCUGGUUCUCGCUAUGGUCUUAUGGGGCCAAACGGACGCGGCAAGUCCACGAUUCUGCGCUUGCUGGCGAGUCGUGAGCUGCCGGUGCAGUCGAACCUCGACUUGCUGUUGGUGGAGCAGGAGCAGGAGUUUACUGCCUCGGAGUUGAGCGCUGUCGAUGCGGUGCUGCAAAGCCACAAGAAGCAAAACGCAUGCGCCGAUGAGGCAAAGGCGCUGGGGGCCAAGGCGGAGCUCUCGGAGGCCGAGAUGGAGCGGCUGCACUUUUUGGAGGAGGAGCUCGACAUCAUGGGCGCCGCCCAGGCGGAUGCCCGUGCCCGGCGGAUUCUCUUCGGUCUUGGCUUUCCCACCGAGUGGCACGAGCGACCCACGAGCAGCUUCAGUGGUGGCUGGCGCAAGCGCAUUGCACUGGCCUCUGCCGUCUUCAUCGAGCCGGACGUGCUCAUGCUGGAUGAGCCGACGAACCACCUUGACCUGAAUGCUGUCAUUUGGCUGGAGUCCUACCUGACGAAGGCGUACAGCGAGACGGCGAGGCGACCCAAGACGUUGAUCGUUGUCUCUCACGACGCGGGCUUCCUGGAUGAGGUGUGCACGCACAUGGUUCACGUGGAGAACUACAUGCUGAAUUACUACCGUGGCAGCUACAGCAGCUUUGACGAGCAGUUGCAGCAGCGGCACCAGGAGCUAGACAAGAAGUACGAGUCGGUAGCCAAGACCAUUCGUGACAAGAAGCGCAAUGGCAUGUCGAACGCGCAGGUCGAGGUAUGGAUUAAGGAUCAGGUGAACAGCGGCCGCCUCGACCCGCUAUUCCUCGAGAAGAGGCGGGACUACACCGUCAACUUCCCCUUUCCUGAUCCGCCGGAGCUGCGCGAUGGGUGCGUGUGCAAGCUCGACAGUGUCUCCUUCAACUAUCCGGGCGGCCCCGUGUUGUUUCAGAACGUGAGCUGCGCCCUGUGGACGGACAGCCGCAUCACUCUUUGUGGUCCCAACGGUAUUGGCAAGAGUACGCUGCUGAACCUCAUGACCGGUGUGCUGGAGCCGACGGCCGGGUACAUUACGCUGAACCGCCAGGUGCGCAUUGGCCGCUACAACCAGCACUUUGUCGACAAGCUGCCGCUGGAGAAGACGCCGGUGGAGUGCAUGCAGGCGCUGGGGAUUCCGGAGGAGGACAAGGCGCGGCGGCUCCUGGGCAGCUUCGGCCUGGAGGGUAUCGUGCACAAGAACCAAAUAGCGACACUGAGUGGCGGCCAAAAGGCCCGUGUGGCGUUUGCGGCGAUCAGCGCCGAGUCCCCUCAUUUUCUCCUCUUCGAUGAGCCGACAAACCACUUGGAUGUUGAGUCGAUCGAUGCGCUCUGCACAGCCAUUCGUAACUUCAAGGGUGGCGUGCUUGUUGUCACCCACGACGCUCGCCUAAUCGAGUCGACCGAGAUGCAGAUCUGGGUCGCCGGGGACAAGAAUGUGAUGCCGUUCAACGGCUCCCUAGAUGACUACAAGAAUGUGGUGCGUGCGGAGUUCGAAAAAGAGGAGGCGAUGCGGCUGGAGGAGCGCAAGCAGCUGCUCGAGCACAAGACGGAAGCGCGUCAGCUGAAGCAGAGCGGGGUCGCGGAUGUGACGACGGCGCUGCAAGAGAAGAAAGAGAAGGAGCAGCACGAACAUGCGCAAGGCCUGGAUGCGUUUCUCACCGCUGCCGCAAAGAAGAAGAAGCCGAAAAAGGCGAAGGAGGAGAAGAGUUAGAAGCGGCAGACGGCGUUUAGGAGAGGUGGGAGGUGGGAGGUGGGAGGGGUAGAUAUGUGUGUUGACGCAUCGCAUGCUGCAACACCCCUGUGCAUCCCCUCAUCGGUGAGGUGUGUACGUGUGUCUUGCGCAUGCAGCACACUAAGCAAGCAAAGAAAAAGGUUCACUAACGUCGCUCUGCACCUCUCCCCUCCUUCGACCUCCUCCUUGCCGUUCCCCUCUCUUUUCUCCCGUCCGCCUGCAUUGGUAGGGGCGAGCACUCACAAGCGAGGGACAACAACAGGGAGUCGGUGCGAGGGGGGGGGGCAGAGCGGACGGUAGUAGUUAAAGCGCGAUUGAGUACACGGUAAAUCGAAGGAAGGAAAAGCGACGGAUUCACAGGGUGCGCACAAAGUCGACAAGCCGAGGUAAAGCACCAUGAGAGGAUGUAUGCGUGGCUUCGUGGUGUGCGACUUUGGUUUUCCUGCUUGUUGUACGAGUUGGGGCAAUGAGGGUG